AUACCAGGAGACCUUUAGUCUCCAUACUGUUGCCCACAAGAUGGGCAAAGAUCGUAGCAAUAGAAAUUGGAGUAGAUGAUUUGAAAAGUAACGGCACAUCUUAAUCCUGCACAAGUACUACGUGAUAAUCAAAGACUCAUCACACAAUAUUGCACGACCAACAAAUGUAAAAAGUGUGACGGUCGCAAACAAACAAAUUGUGUGCCUCAUAUAAUCAACUACAAAUUAUGUGCCUCACAUAAUCAAACUACACCAGCAGAAUUGCUUAUACACCCAACCUUGGAAGGAACUUCAGCCAUUUUUUACAACAGAAGAAAAGAAUUUAUACAAGGCAUGAAUCUUUAGUAAGACCGUGUCGGUUAAAUCAAUUUCAGCCACUUAAAAAUACAAGGUUAAUCCCCAGAGUUCCACACUUAUCCAUAUGAAUUAGCUAG
rnacentral:lncRNA from 1 species